rnacentral:rRNA from 1 species
GACGAACGCUGGCGGCGUGCCUAACACAUGCAAGUCGAACGAAGUGCCGCACGGGUGAGUACUACGUGGGUAACCUGCCCUCCUUUCUGGGAUACGCCUUGGCAACGGGGUCUAAUACCCACUAAAGGGGGAUGGGCUCGCGGCCUAUCUGCUUGGUGGUGGGGUGAUGGCCUACCAAGGCGGUGCCGGGUCGCCGGGCUGAGAGGGUGACCGGCCAGGUUGGGACUGGGAUACGGCCGAGAGGCCGACGGGGGGGAGGAGUGGGGGAUAUUGGAGAACGGGGGAAAGGCGGAUGCAGCGACGCCGCGUGGGGGAUGAGGGCUUUCGGGUUGUAAAGCUCUGUCGGGAUCGGACGGGUAGGUGGAGAAGAAGCGCCGGCUAACUACGUGCCAGCAGCCGCGGUAAUAC